GUGAACUUGUUCAGCUGAUAAGGCUGGUUAUGAAACAGAGAAGGGGGGGGGGGGGCUGCAGACAGGAAGGGAGGGAAGUUGAAAGUGAAAGUAUGAAGUCAGACUUGUCAGAGUGCCAAACGCCAUUUUACAGCUCGACGGAGCAGGAGGACAACAGGCAGGGGGAGACACCUCAUAAUGAACACGUGGUGAUCAGAGAUCUGACCCUAACAUACCAGCAGACACUGACUCUGAUUACAUCAACGCCAGCUUCAUCAAGACUGGAGAAGAUGAGUGGUUUUAAAGAUGAGGAAGAGGAC